GGAAGAGUGUUUCAGUUCUAAAUUUUUAUUUAUUUUUAAAUUUAAUGUAAAUUUUUGUGUUAUACUAAAGUUCGUUAUAAAUAGGGGGGCUUACCUAAAAUUCAGUGGUUACAGUAAUUAGUUUUUUAAAUUUAAAAAUUUAAGAUAAAGAUAAUAAUAUUUAGUACAAACUAAAUUUGUGCCAGCAGUUGCGGUUACACAAAUUGUGCUAUAAAAAUAGUUUAGAUGAAGUUAAAAAUUUAAGUUAGAUAAGUUAAAAAUUUAGAGUAAUUUUAUUAGGUGAAAUUUUAUUUUUAUAAAAUUUUUAAAUAUAUAAUAUUUUGAAGCUUAGAAAUUUUGUUUUAAAACUAGGAUUAGAUACCCUAUUAUUAAAAUGUAAUUAUUUUAUCUAAAUUAGUGCUAGGAAAGAAAAUUAGGAGAAAUUUUAUAUUCUUGAAAAUUAAGAAGAAUGGCGGUAUUUUAGUCUUUUCAGAGGAACCUGUCCUGUAAUUGAUAGUCCACGAUUUUUAUUACUUUUUUUUUUAGUUUAUAUAUCGCUGUGGUUGAAUAUUUUUUUUGAGGGUUUAAUAUUCAGAGUUUUUAAAAAAAGAAAUUCAGGUCAAGAUGUAGCUUAUAAAAAAGAAGAGAUGGGUUACAAUAAUUUAAAUUUUGGAAAAAUUUUUUAAAAUAAUCUUAAAAUUGGAUUUGAGAGUAAUUAUGUAAAAUUCAUACAAAAUGAUUUUAGCUCUAAAAUGUGUACAUAUCGCCCGUCGCUUUCAUUUUAAAAUGAAAUAAGUCGUAACAUAGUAGGUGUACUGGAAGGUGUCUCUAGAAGACA
rnacentral:ncRNA from 1 species